rnacentral:rRNA from 1 species
GACGAACGCUGGCGGCGUGCUUAACACAUGCAAGUCGAACGGAAAGGCCCUGCCUGCAGGGUACUCGAGUGGCGAACGGGUGAGUAACACGUGGGUGAUCUGCCCUGCACUUCGGGAUAAGCCUGGGAAACUGGGUCUAAUACCGGAUAGGAGCCAUUUUUGUGUGAUUGUUUGAAAGUUUUUUCGGUGUAGGAUGAGCUCGCGGCCUAUCAGCUUGUUGGUGGGGUAAUGGCCUACCAAGGCGGCGACGGGUAGCCGGCCUGAGAGGGUGGACGGCCACAUUGGGACUGAGAUACGGCCCAGACUCCUACGGGAGGCAGCAGUGGGGAAUAUUGCACAAUGGGCGCAAGCCUGAUGCAGCGACGCCGCGUGGGGGAUGACGGCCUUCGGGUUGUAAACUCCUUUCGCUAGGGACGAAGCUUUUUGUGACGGUACCUAGAGAAGAAGCACCGGCUAACUACGUG